CAGUAGCCGCGGGAAUACGAAGGGGGCUAGCGUUGUUCGGAUUUACUGGGCGUAAAGCGCACGUAGGCGGAUCGAUCAGUCAGGGGUGAAAUCCCAGAGCUCAACUCUGGAACUGCCUUUGAUACUGUCGAUCUGGAGUAUGGAAGAGGUGAGUGGCAUUCCGAGUGUAGAGGUGAAAUUCGUAGAUAUUCGGAGGAACACCAGUGGCGAAGGCGGCUCACUGGUCCAUUACUGACGCUGAGGUGCGGAAGCGUGGGGAGCAAACAGGAUUAGAUACCCCGGUAGUCCCUGUCUCUUAUAU
rnacentral:rRNA from 1 species